UGCUUAAAUGAUGAAUUGUUUUGCCACCCCAGUCUGAUUUCUCUGACUGAGCGUUAACAUUCUGAUCAGGU